rnacentral:rRNA from 1 species
CCUACGGGAGGCAGCAGUGGGGAAUAUUGGUCAAUGGGCGCGAGCCUGAACCAGCCAAGUCGCGUGAGGGAGGACGGCCCUACGGGUUGUAAACCUCUUUUGCCGGGGAGCAACGGGCGUCACGUGUGGCGCCACUGAGAGUACCCGUAGACAAAGCAUCGGCUAACUCCGUGCCAGCAGCCGCGGUAAUACGGAGGAUGCGGGCGUUAUCCGGCUUUAUUGGGUUUAAGGGGUGCGUAGGCGGUUCGUUAAGUCAGUGGUCAAAUUGAGGGGAUCAACCCAUUCCCGCCAUUGAAACUGGCGCUCUUGAGUGGAAGAGAAGUAGGCGGAAUGCGUGGUGUAGCGGUGAAAUGCAUAGAUAUCACGAAGAACCCCGAUUGCGAAGGCAGCAUGCCGGAUUCCGACUGACGCUGAAGCACGAAAGCGUGGGGAUCGAACAGGAUUAGAUACCCGUGUAGUC